ensembl:miRNA Mir741 microRNA 741
AAUGUCUCAUGUGCAUUGGUCUACAUAGAUUGGUACCUAUCAUGUAAAAUAAGUGUGAAAGAUGCCACGCUAUGUAGAUCAACGCUCAUGACAUUC